GUAAAGUCCUGGGACUCUGUCCAUGUUUUCUACCUUCUUCCAUUCCAGCCAUCCCAGACUUCUGGUGUCCCACGGCAACACUCUGCGUUGCCAUAUUACCCUUGCUCUCUGUUUCAGUGUUUAUCUUAAAAUAAGAGGCAUUUUACUCUCAAAGCUGGUUUACAGAAUGUGCAACAAAACUGUGGAUGACGUUAGAAAUGCCUAGAGAGUCGUAAAGCUUCUCAAGUGCAAACCCCAGACAAAUCCAGGACAUGGAGAUAAUCCCAAGACUCCUGCCUCAAGCCAGCUCCCUUCUCCCACAGAAUACACUGUGGUCUGGAGUAAAAGGCACUUCAGUCCCUCCAUGACAUACCACAGCACUCACCAAUGUAGCCAGGGGGAUGGUAUCCUGAGGCUUCUGAGGGCAGCUGGGUGGUUUAGAGUUCCUACUCUGGGACCUCUAGAGAGGGGCUGGCGUCAUUGGGAGGACCAGCCACCUUGGCAUGAACCUUACCCAGCAUCAGAUGAACAAACAAGGCCUGGAAGAAACAGAGAAUUGGAGCAGCUGUACAGUGGAGAAGGACCUUUGAGAAAUGGAGAAAGAACAGAAUUAGCAAGAGACUUGUAGCACUAAGAUGUGGGCCAAGCAGCAACUGGACAAGGGGAUCUUCAGAGCUGUCCAAGUGCAAGAGUUGCCAGAGGGGGAUGCACGUCUUAAAGAGCAACUGCUUCAGUGUUUAAAUGAAAAGCACCGACAAAUAGGAGGCACAGGUGGGUCAAAACCAGAGUUCCUUCAAGAAGUCCACAUCAAGACUCUGGAUCUUUUGCCCAGAACAUCACAUAGAAAAGAGGGUUCGUGGUUUAGUUUAAGCUAAGGAUGUCGACUGAAGGAACCAAUCCUGGAUUACCUGAGCCAUUCCUAGACUCCCUAGACAUAGUUAGUUUUAUACUUAAAAAGAGGACCCCAGAAAAGGACAAACAGAAAGGAUGGUACAGAGACAGAAGCAGGGAUUAGUUCAAGCCAUCCAUCACAAACCCUAGAAGACCAGGGAAGCUACCAAAGUUGGAGACAUUGAGGAACACCCUCCUCUAUUGUGUGUGGAAGGACCAGAGCU
ensembl:lncRNA